rnacentral:rRNA from 1 species
UUGGAAACGACUGCUAAUACCCGAUGUGCCGAAAGGUGAAACCUAAUUGGCCUGAAGAAGAGCUUGCGUCUGAUUAGCUAGUUGGUGGGGUAAAGGCCUACCAAGGCGACGAUCAGUAGCUGGUCUGAGAGGAUGAGCAGCCACACUGGGACUGAGACACGGCCCAGACUCCUACGGGAGGCAGCAGUGGGGAAUUUUCCGCAAUGGGCGAAAGCCUGACGGAGCAACGCCGCGUGAGGGAGGAAGGUCUUUGGAUUGUAAACCUCUUUUCUCAAGGAAGAAGUUCUGACGGUACUUGAGGAAUCAGCCUCGGCUAACUCCGUGCCAGCAGCCGCGGUAAUACGGGGGAGGCAAGCGUUAUCCGGAAUUAUUGGGCGUAAAGCGUCCGCAGGUGGUCAGCCAAGUCUGCCGUCAAAUCAGGUUGCUUAACGACCUAAAGGCGGUGGAAACUGGCAGACUAGAGAGCAGUAGGGGUAGCAGGAAUUCCCAGUGUAGCGGUGAAAUGCGUAGAGAUUGGGAAGAACAUCGGUGGCGAAAGCGUGCUACUGGGCUGUAUCUGACACUCA